rnacentral:rRNA from 1 species
UUAGUGGCGGACGGGUGAGUAACGCGUGGGUAACCUGCCUUACACAGGGGGAUAACACUUAGAAAUAGGUGCUAAAACCGCAUAAGCGCACAGCUUCGCACGAAGCGGUGUGAAAAACUCCGGUGGUGUAAGAUGGACCCGCGUCUGAUUAGCUUGUUGGCGGGGUAACGGCCCACCAAGGCGACGAUCAGUAGCCGGCCUGAGAGGGCGGACGGCCACAUUGGGACUGAGACACGGCCCAGACUCCUACGGGAGGCAGCAG